UAUCUUUGAAUGAUUUUUCUCUCUUUUUUUCCCCCGCCACUGCCAACCUUCCCCCCCACCACCACCACCACCCCUCAGGAGCCUUGGUCACCUGUCCGGCCUUCUCCCCUCCUUCAUAGCGACAGGGACCCCUUGUCGCCCACGCCCGUUAAGAUGUCCCCGUUGGCGCAACAGAAGGAACGGGACCCGUCUUCGCCCACUCCAGUGAGAUUGUUUUUACAGAGGG